rnacentral:rRNA from 1 species
GGGUUGUGAGGUUAAGCGACUAAGCGUACACGGUGGAUGCCCUGACAGUCAGAGGCGAUGAAGGACGUGCUAAUCUGCGAAAAGCGUCGGUAAGGUGAUAUGAACCGUUAUAACCGGCGAUGUCCGAAUGGGGAAACCCAGUGUGAUUCGUCACACUAUCGUUAACUGAAUACAUAGGUUAACGAGGCGAACCGGGGGAACUGAAACAUCUAAGUACCCCGAGGAAAAGAAAUCAACCGAGAUUCCCCCAGUAGCGGCGAGCGAACGGGGAGCAGCCCAGAGUCUGAAUCAGCUUGUGUGUUAGUGGAACGGUCUGGAAAGUCCGACGGUACAGGGUGAUAGUCCCGUACACCAAAAUGCACAGGUUGUGAACUCGAAGAGUAGGGCGGGACACGUGGUAUCCUGUCUGAAUAUGGGGGGACCAUCCUCCAAGGCUAAAUACUCCUGACUGACCGAUAGUGAACCAGUACCGUGAGGGAAAGGCGAAAAGAACCCCGGCGAGGGGAGUGAAAAAGAACCUGAAACCGUGUACGUACAAGCAGUGGGAGCACCUUCGGGUGUGACUGCGUACCUUUUGUAUAAUGGGUCAGCGACUUAUAUUCUGUAGCAAGGUUAACCGUAUAGGGGAGCCGCAGGGAAACCGAGUCUUAACUGGGCGUUAAGUUGCAGGGUAUAGACCCGAAACCCGGUGAUCUAGCCAUGGGCAGGUUGAAGGUUGGGUAACACUAACUGGAGGACCGAACCGACUAAUGUUGAAAAAUUAGCGGAUGACUUGUGGCUGGGGGUGAAAGGCCAAUCAAACCGGGAGAUAGCUGGUUCUCCCCGAAAGCUAUUUAGGUAGCGCCUCGUGAACUCAUCUUCGGGGGUAGAGCACUGUUUCGGCUAGGGGGUCAUCCCGACUUACCAACCCGAUGCAAACUACGAAUACCGAAGAAUGUUAUCACGGGAGACACACGGCGGGUGCUAACGUCCGUCGUGAAGAGGGAAACAACCCAGACCGCCAGCUAAGGUCCCAAAGUCAUGGUUAAGUGGGAAACGAUGUGGGAAGGCACAGACAGCCAGGAUGUUGGCUUAGAAGCAGCCAUCAUUUAAAGAAAGCGUAAUAGCUCACUGGUCGAGUCGGCCUGCGCGGAAGAUGUAACGGGGCUAAACCAUGCACCGAAGCUGCGGCAGCGACACUAUGUGUUGUUGGGUAGGGGAGCGUUCUGUAAGCCUGCGAAGGUGUGCUGUGAGGCAUGCUGGAGGUAUCAGAAGUGCGAAUGCUGACAUAAGUAACGAUAAAGCGGGUGAAAAGCCCGCUCGCCGGAAGACCAAGGGUUCCUGUCCAACGUUAAUCGGGGCAGGGUGAGUCGACCCCUAAGGCGAGGCCGAAAGGCGUAGUCGAUGGGAAACAGGUUAAUAUUCCUGUACUUGGUGUUACUGCGAAGGGGGGACGGAGAAGGCUAUGUUAGCCGGGCGACGGUUGUCCCGGUUUAAGCAUGUAGGCUGGUUAUCCAGGCAAAUCCGGAUAAUCAAGGCUGAGGUGUGAUGACGAGGCACUACGGUGCUGAAGUAACAAAUGCCCUGCUUCCAGGAAAAGCCUCUAAGCAUCAGGUAACAUCAAAUCGUACCCCAAACCGACACAGGUGGUCAGGUAGAGAAUACCAAGGCGCUUGAGAGAACUCGGGUGAAGGAACUAGGCAAAAUGGUGCCGUAACUUCGGGAGAAGGCACGCUGGUGUGUAGGUGAAGUCCCUGCGGAUGGAGCUGAGACCAGUCGAAGAUACCAGCUGGCUGCAACUGUUUAUUAAAAACACAGCACUGUGCAAACACGAAAGUGGACGUAUACGGUGUGACGCCUGCCCGGUGCCGGAAGGUUAAUUGAUGGGGUUAUCCGUAAGGAGAAGCUCUUGAUCGAAGCCCCGGUAAACGGCGGCCGUAACUAUAACGGUCCUAAGGUAGCGAAAUUCCUUGUCGGGUAAGUUCCGACCUGCACGAAUGGCGUAAUGAUGGCCAGGCUGUCUCCACCCGAGACUCAGUGAAAUUGAACUCGCUGUGAAGAUGCAGUGUACCCGCGGCAAGACGGAAAGACCCCGUGAACCUUUACUAUAGCUUGACACUGAACAUUGAGCCUUGAUGUGUAGGAUAGGUGGGAGGCUUUGAAGCGUGGACGCCAGUCUGCGUGGAGCCAACCUUGAAAUACCACCCUUUAAUGUUUGAUGUUCUAACGUUGGCCCCUGACCGGGGUUGCGGACAGUGUCUGGUGGGUAGUUUGACUGGGGCGGUCUCCUCCCAAAGCGUAACGGAGGAGCACGAAGGUUAGCUAAUCCUGGUCGGACAUCAGGAGGUUAGUGCAAUGGCAUAAGCUAGCUUGACUGCGAGCGUGACGGCGCGAGCAGGUGCGAAAGCAGGUCAUAGUGAUCCGGUGGUUCUGAAUGGAAGGGCCAUCGCUCAACGGAUAAAAGGUACUCCGGGGAUAACAGGCUGAUACCGCCCAAGAGUUCAUAUCGACGGCGGUGUUUGGCACCUCGAUGUCGGCUCAUCACAUCCUGGGGCUGAAGUAGGUCCCAAGGGUAUGGCUGUUCGCCAUUUAAAGUGGUACGCGAGCUGGGUUUAGAACGUCGUGAGACAGUUCGGUCCCUAUCUGCCGUGGGCGCUGGAGAAUUGAGGGGGGCUGCUCCUAGUACGAGAGGACCGGAGUGGACGCAUCACUGGUGUUCGGGUUGUCAUGCCAAUGGCACUGCCCGGUAGCUAAAUGCGGAAGAGAUAAGUGCUGAAAGCAUCUAAGCACGAAACUUGCCCCGAGAUGAGUUCUCCCUGAGACUUUAAGUCUCCUGAAGGAACGUUGAAGACGACGACGUUGAUAGGCCGGGUGUGUAAGCGCAGCGAUGCGUUGAGCUAACCGGUACUAAUGAACCGUGAGGCUUAACCUUACAACGCCGAAG